rnacentral:rRNA from 1 species
GGCUGUUUACCAAAAACAUCGCUCCCUGUAACAAAAAAAUAGGGAGUCGGACCUGCCCGGUGAAUUUUUAACGGCCGCGGUACUCUGACCGUGCAAAGGUAGCAUAAUAAUUUGCCUUAUAAUUGAAGGCUAGAAUGAAUGGUUUGACGAGAAUAAAGCUGUCUCUUUACAACUCUAUAGAAAUUUAUUUGCAGAUGAAAAAGCCUGCAUAAUAUUAAAAGACAAGAAGACCCUAUCGAGCUUUAAAAGAUUUAAUGGGUUAAAAACUUAUUAUGAGCUUAAGACAGUUAUCCAUUAAGAAUUUUAGUUGGGGCGACUAAGGAACAAACAAAGCUUCCUCAUUAGCAUUUUUACCUAUAAGUUCCGAUCCAGAAGCAUUCUGAUUAAUAGAAUUAGUUACCGUAGGGAUAACAGCAUUAUCUUUUUUGAGAGUUCUCAUCGAAAAAAAGGUUUGUGACCUCGAUGUUGGACCAGAAUGUCCUAAAGAUGCAGCAGUCUUUAAGGGUUGGUCUGUUCGACCAUUAAAAUCUA